CGAAGAUGUGGGGGAGUGGUUGGUGGAAAACACCUGCCUCUGUCUCUGCGUGCGCCGCGCCGCUCCUGCAGGAUUUUCGUCUUUAUCACAGGGAAGAAAAUAAUGAGAGACAGCUUUACCAUUCCAGGAGCGGUGCGAUCCGGAAUCUGGUCGGAGAGAGCGUAUAAUGGUUUGGAACCUGCAAGACCAGAGUUUCUGACUUUUGUUUUGCUGUAUCACAGAAAGUUGCUGCGUUCGCUGUAUUUUUCUCAUCUUGGACCUAUUUUCUUUCUGUCCUUCCUCCUACCCAUUAUUCAUUCAUUCAACAAGUGCAAAGGGCAGGGCAUCUCAGCAACACCCAGUCUCCAGAGGCCGCAGCCUGCGCUCAGUGCCAGUGGAGGGUGUGCGGAACGGAAAUUGUGAGAUCCUGGCACAGGAAUGGAUGAAAAAUUCAAAGGCACAACAUAGAAAACCCAGAGAUAGACCCAAGUAUGCACAGCAAUUAAAUAAAGGUCUCAUCUCAGUAAAUAAGAGUGGAGAAAGAAAGGAUUUCUUAGUAAAUG